rnacentral:tRNA from 2 species
AAGGGAGACCUAAUUCAGGUAGGAGACGAAAAAAAAGUAGUCCCAACCAAGAAUCAAUCCCAAAAGGUCGGAGCGAGGCGAAAUUGGCUUUCAAACUAGGUUCUGGGUUCACACAAGACCUGAAUCAGGAACAAGGGCUAUUAGCUCAGGUGGUUAGAGCGCACCCCUGAUAAGGGUGAGGUCCCUGGUUCGAGUCCAGGAUGGCCCACCUGCACAGGUGGCAAAAACAAGAGAAGCGAGGAAUCAGCACCUUAUCUUAUCUAUAUAUAUAUAGGAGAGAAUGCUGGCUCUGAGUAAAGAGUCCAGAGGAACCUUGAAAACUGCAUAGAGCUAGGUGAAAAAGCCAAAAAAGAAGACCGCAA